rnacentral:rRNA from 1 species
UACGUAGGUGGCAAGCGUUAUCCGGAUUUAUUGGGCGUAAAGGGAGCGUAGACGGUGAGACAAGUCUGAAGUGAAAGCCCGGGGCUCAACCCCGGGACUGCUUUGGAAACUGCCUGACUGGAGUGCUGGAGAGGCAAGCGGAAUUCCUAGUGUAGCGGUGAAAUGCGUAGAUAUUAGGAAGAACACCAGUGGCGAAGGCGGCUUGCUGGACAGUAACUGACGUUGAGGCUCGAAAGCGUGGGGAGCAAACAGG